UACGUAGGGGGGCUAGCGUUGUCCGGAAUCAUUGGGCGUAAAAGCGCGCGUAGGCGGCCCGGUAAGUCCGUUGUGAAAAGUCAAAGGCUCAACCUUUGAAAGCCGAUGGAUACUGCCCGGGCUGGAGUCCGGAAAGAGGCGAGUGGAAUUCCUGGUGUAGCGGUGGAAUGCGCAGAUAUCAGGAGGAACACCAAUAGCGAAGGCAGCUCGCUGGGACGGUACUGACGCUGAGGCGCGAAAGCGUGGGGGAGCGAAACAGG
rnacentral:rRNA from 1 species